AGUGAACGCUGGCGGUAGGCCUAACACAUGCAAGUCGAACGGCAGCACAGUAAGAGCUUGCUCUUACGGGUGGCGAGUGGCGGACGGGUGAGGAAUACAUCGGAAUCUACUUUUUCGUGGGGGAUAACGUAGGGAAACUUACGCUAAUACCGCAUACGACCUACGGGUGAAAGCAGGGGAUCUUCGGACCCUGCGCGAUUGAAUGAGCCGAUGUCGCAUUAGCUAGUUGGCGGGGUAAAGGCCCACCAAGGCGACGAUCCGUAGCUGGUCUGAGAGGAUGAUCAGCCACACUGGAACUGAGACACGGUCCAGACUCCUACGGGAGGCAGCAGUGGGGAAUAUUGGACAAUGGGCGCAAGCCUGAUCCAGCCAUACCGCGUGGGUGAAGAAGGCCUUCGGGUUGUAAAGCCCUUUUGUUGGGAAAGAAAAGCAGCAGGUUAAUACCCCGCUGUUCUGACGGUACCCAAAGAAUAAGCACCGGCUAACUUCGUG
rnacentral:rRNA from 1 species